rnacentral:rRNA from 1 species
UGGGGAAUAUUGGACAAUGGGCGCAAGCCUGAUCCAGCCAUGCCGCGUGAGUGAUGAAGGCCUUAGGGUUGUAAAGCUCUUUUACCAGGGAAGAUAAUGACGGUACCUGGAGAAUAAGCCCCGGCUAACUUCGUGCCAGCAGCCGCGGUAAUACGAAGGGGGCUAGCGUUGCUCGGAAUCACUGGGCGUAAAGCGCACGUAGGUGGGUCGUUAAGUCAGGGGUGAAAUCCCGGAGCUCAACUCCGGAACUGCCUUUGAUACUGGCGACCUUGGAGUCCGGGAGAGGUGAGUGGAACUGCGAGUGUAGAGGUGAAAUUCGUAGAUAUUCGCAAGAACACCAGUGGCGAAGGCGGCUCACUGGCCCGGUACUGACACUGAGGUGCGAAAGCGUGGGGAGCAAACA